rnacentral:lncRNA from 1 species
UGAGAAUACAGAAAGUCAGAAAAUCUCUGAUCAGACUUUACUGAUUCCUUCUGACCAGCAGAGGGCGACGUUGUGUCUCUUUACAUAGUCCAGAAAAACAAAUAUUCUGAACACAGAAUGCUUGAUAGUCCGACAUUGUUUUUGAAAACCCUGACUUUCUGCUCUUUGUUUUUCUUGCAUUGUGCUGCAGUAGAAGAGAUGGAGUGUGAUCCAGUCAAUGACCCUGUUAGUGCUGAAGACUCAGAGGAGAACAGGACCAGCACAGGACUAAUGUCUGAACUCAAGACUCUACCAGCUGUAACCCAUCAGGAAGGUAAAAUUUAAAUGACUGAUUUUAUUGAACAAAAAUACAAAAGAGUCAGAAUGACAAAAAAAGUUCUAUCAGUUAUUUACAGUGAACAUGAGUAUAUCACAGUAUAGCAUUAAGUGGUAGUGAAAUGUUCAAAUCUUAUAUUUUUUAUUCAUUUUCAACAUUUUGUAUUAUCAUUGGUUCCAUGUGUUGUUUUAAGAACUAGAUGAAUUCUGUUUUUUGUUUUUCAAUGAUUAGGAGUAUUGUAAAUGUACACUUUAUCUUCUUUUAAAAAUGUUAUUCUGUCUGUACUGAAACUGUUUCAGUUCUUCACAUGAUCAGACUAACUUCAUUUUUACAAUAUACUAAUAUCUAUAUUCAUGUUAUUCAUAUUUACCAAUGGAAAUAGCAGUCUGGCUUCUACUGCAAUAAACAAAAUCUUCAUACAAGUCUAAAUGCCUUCUGUUUUUAACGUGCAUCAUGUGAAUAUCAGAUUUUUCUCUUGACAAAAAAUUCUUAAUCAAGGAAAAUGAUGAAAAAGAAAAAUUUCAUCACAGUUUUAGUGAUAAACACAAAUACAUUGUGGUCGAGAAAAGAUUGUUUGAUAAAAACGUAAUUUUUUAAUCACAACCAAGAAUGAGCCUUUCAUUCUAGCAAUCAAAAUUAAUUAAAUUUAAGGAAAUUAAAAAAACAAAACAACCAAAAAACAAAAAUGAACUGCAAAAUGUGGUGGUGAGUACUGAAGCCACACAACAAGAAAUUUCCAGGUUCAAAUCUCGGAUAAAUGGAUGAAAGUUUGUAUGAUAAAAGAGUUAGCUUUGGAAGUUCAGUGUUCAACGUUCAUAGUAAAAAC